rnacentral:rRNA from 1 species
GUGUUGCUUAUUACGAGCACGCCAAAGUCGUUGUUGAAUUUUAUUUGUAUAUAAAGACUUCCUUUCACAUGUUGUAUAAUACCACUGCGUCAUGUGAGAACAGUUCAUAGGGUAAGGAAAGAGUAAUAAGCCAAUAACGGCAAUCACUAAUGAUCCUUUUCCGUAGGUGAACCUGCGGAAGGAUCAUUAGUGAUUGCCUUUAUAGGCUUAUAACUAUAUCCACUUACACCUGUGAACUGUUCUACUACUUGACGCAAGUCGAGUAUUUUUACAAACAAUGUGUAAUGAACGUCGUUUUAUUAUAACAAAAUAAAACUUCCAAAAAAGCGGUCCUU